GUGGUGAAGGGUUGCCUUCUUACGGGUUGUCCUAUUAUGACCGUAAGUUUCAAGGCUGAAGAGAAGCGUAUCAUCAGGGGUUAAUAAGAGCUCUGAACAGAAACCAAGUGCGUAUAGGGAUUUAUCAUGAAGAUGUCUACAAAUGGUAUGGAGGCGGGAGGAGUUUGAGGAGUGCCAAGCACCACUCUCAUUAAUAGAGGACAAAAACUUUUGCAAAUUGAAUUGACCAAGCAACGUGCCAAACCAAUUUUGAUUGAAAGUGGGAAUAGCGAGGACGCUUUGGAGAGAGAAACCAUGUCCUCCAUGUGGAGGCGUGGGAGGGGAAUAGGAAGGGAUAAAGGGUGAGGACAUGAAACGUUGGAAGAAAUGGAUCUGCUUGGGCCUGGACAAUUUUGUGCCUCUCGAAAGUCCGAGUGGAAGCGGGUCUCCAGGCACCGCCCGAGCUUCUCCUUCCAGAGUUAUGGGUGUGGACAUGUCCAGCUCCCAAAAGCCUCCGUCCAUUGCCCAUCUCAGCUUCUUCAUUAUCGUCUUCAAUUUCUCUCUAGUCUUUUGUGGUCACAACCCAGUACUGAGUAAAGAG
rnacentral:misc_RNA from 1 species